CCUGCUUCAUCUUCCCAGAGUGCUAGGAUUACAGGCAAGGGCCACUGUGCCCAGUCAGAACAUUUUCCUCUUACUAAGUGUAUGUGAUGAGUAGGAAGGAUACUCGUGUCAGGCCUGGUUAAGAAUCCCCAAGAGAAAGGUGUUCUGCCAAAGGACUGUCAGCUCACGCCAACUCCAGCUGAGUCAGAAUCUAUCUGAAUUUCUCCAAGGCUGCCGAGCAAACUCCUACUCAUUCACCGCCUUUUCCUGAAACAAAGUGGCUCCCCAUUGCGCCAGGGGUCUUGGAGCUGCGGACCGGCCAGAGUGCGUGUUAAUAGCUUCACCACGCUCAACAGCACUAUUGGAAAAAUAACUACCAAGCUGGUUCCUCCCAGUCGCUGAAUAUGCCUUCUGACUUGGAACUGGCUGUGUUUCCCAGGUUGCACAUGCCAGGGACUUAUUUGUAAAGACAGUAGUUGGUCCUCCUUUUGUUCUGAAACCAAGCCGAGAGGGCUAAUCUACUGGCAGUUGCGGAAAUGAAACACAAGCAAAUCAUGUACUCUAUAAAGUCUCUAAAGCCACGGCUUCUCCAAGGUGGUCCUGGACUCCUCUUGGGAUUGAGGGCCUAAGAAGAAGCAGACACCGAUCCCUUGCUGUUUGUAAAUCUGACAGGCCCCGCUGAAUGCCAGCGCUAAGGCUAGUGGUGGCUGAGUCCCACCAGCUCAGCCACCUCCUAUCCAUUCUGUCCUAUCGGCUGCAUGCCCUUGAGUCUGGGUGCCUUUCCCCUAGACUCCACAAGGGAGGUGGUGAGGGCCCAAGGUCCCAUGAUCUGACUGUCUCUGGGAUGGUGAAGGCAGUGUCCAGUGGUCCCUCUUGUGGGCCAGCUCCAACACGAGCUUCCUGGAAACCUGGUCUCACCCAUUGCCCUCUGCUGCUGUCUUUCUAACCUCUGGGCCCAAUCUGCCUCCCUCUGUAAUCUCUAGUGCCCCGAGCUUUUGGCCCAAAGGUCAAAGGUCAGGCCUUCUCUAGGCCCAGGUUUCCUCACUGCCGCUGCUAGUAGCCAGAGAGAACAGAGCUGUAUCUCAGCCCCAAUUCUGUGAUGAUGUGGCUUCUUGUGUGUGUGUGGGGGGACUAUGCCAUUUAAUUUAAGAAAUUACACCCAGAACAUAAAGUUAAUUAUCUGGAUGUUUUAGGAGGUUCUUGCUUCCUUUCUUUGAGGAUACAAAUGGCUAAGUAGAAGCAAGAGGAGGAGGCUUUGAUCAAAAGAUUAAGGAGCAGUUGUCCAUUGCAUCCCUUCAUUGCCCCAACCUGGCCAGGGCUGGAAAGAAAUUGCCAGAAGGGAUAAGAAAAAGCAAAUGAAUGUCCAGCCCUCCAAGUAUCUGGUUCUGUUCCAAAGGGGCUGACCUAUGCCUGAGUGAGGGCAAGGCUGGCAGAGUAAAAAGCAGAUUUCUAUGCAUGUUCACGAGGUCCAAUGUAAUGAACACAUCUCCAUCAAUUUCUGGAGGCAGAGGGCUCAAUUUAUUUUGGUUUUAGUAUGAAAGUCCUCAGCCUUAGCUCUGUCUACAGAGCAACUGAGUAGUUAGAAUUCUCUCUCCAACGAAAGUGAUGGUCAAUAGAAUUCUUGGUAUCAAAUGAGCAAUAAUUUGCUGUGGCUACAUGCUGGAUAAUGAAAGAUGUUAGCAGGAUCAAUAAAAAAUGAAAACACUUUUACUUACAUCUUGAGUUACUGUUUUAAGAGAGCGAGAGACGCAACAAACUCAAAGCUAGGUUCAGAGCCACCCAGCACCCCUCUCAGAACCGAAAAGCUGAGUUUUGUUACUACCUGACUGUCCCUCGGUAUCCCAAGUCCCUACCUUCUCCCUCAGUGUGUCAGGAAGAGUAGACUAUUUACAUAAAAUUAACUCAUAGAAACCAGUAAUAAUUUACUACAGUUUUAAUUCUUUGUUUUUUUUUGGUCCUUAACGUCAGAAAUAAAUUUGAAAUUGUUUUCCACCAGGA